GGGGAUUUAGCUCAGCGGCGUAAGCGCCUGCCUUGUAAGCAGGCAGUCAUGAAUUCAAUUCCUGGUACCUA
rfam:Cavia porcellus supercont2_9 genomic scaffold, whole genome shotgun sequence.